GAAUCAGUGGCGGAUGGUACGCGCCACGCUGUGUUGUGUGCUUUGAAAGCAUUACAACCGGGAGGCCCUGGUGCGAGUCCAGGCUGGGUCA